AAACCGGUUUGUUUUUCUCACCCCAGGCAGCCUCUUGGCUGUUGGAAUUAAAAGGAGCUAGGGCUGUGGGGAUGGGUGGGUAGAGGGCAUAACUGUGGUGAGCAGAGUGAAUAGAGGGAAGUAGAGCCAAGGAAAGGCCACCUCCCAAGAUAGUAUCAAUUUCAAGUGUUGGGGGAUGGGGGAAAUAGUGUUUUCAGUGUGAAUUCCAUAGAGAAAGAACCAGGAAAGAAAGGUGUGUCAGAAAGGGGGUCGAAAGUGAUUUAGGAAAACAAUGUUAGCCCAUUCUACCCCAGGGGCAGACCUGCCACAGUCUAGCCUUGCCAGCCUAGGCUCUGAUAAUCAAGGCUGGUUAUACCCCGAUGAAACCCUGCUUGGUGAGGAGCCCUGCCUCCUCCUGACCUAGUAACCAACGCUUUGCCCCCCUCAUCCCCUCAGAAAGCACUACUUCCACUGCCAGGCUGCCUCUGUUAGACUUUGCAAAGGGCAAGCAUUGCAGGUGGUGCCAGAACCACAGGUCCACCCUGUCUUGCCUUUGUGGGGGACUUGGCACCUGUGGAGCAUCAGCCCCACAAAAAGAAUGCUAAAGUCAGAGUGGGGCUGUAAAAAGGCAAAUGGGUGGAGGAGCAGGUCAGCAGAACCAGGGGCAUCUGUGGUUUCCCUUUAUCAACUUGAACUGUGUUCCAUCUGCAACUCUGCAGCAUGGCAAAGCACAACUGGGGAUUCUUCCUCUAGAUCCCCAGAGCUGCAAGUCCCUGGUCUGCAACACUCAGAAAAGAGCAUUGUACAUCUCUCUCAUCUAGGAGAACUUCUCAAAUGGGAGGAAAAUGCCCCCCUUGCCCUUGCCUUAGUAACGUUGCUAGUUGUUCCUGAAGUCCUUCCCUAAACAGAAAAUUCUCUCAUCUGAACCACUGGGCUGAGAAGACGUUGUUAGACUCAUUUGAGUUGGAGAAUCAUUAUUCCCGUUUAUCGGAUGAAGCAGCUGAGGUUUUUCUUUACAAAAGUUAACUAAGAUUUCUAUAGCUACAGAAUAUGCAGAAGUAGCCUGGAACUCAGGUUCCUGCCUUUCAGCCAAUGAACUUUUGCUUACUGGUCUUUGGGUUGGGCUUUGGAGGACAGUUUUGUUUUGCUAAGAGAGCACCAGCCUGGGUUGCAGCUGUGACUUGCCUCUGACUCUAGGAUGUGGAAGUGGAGGGAAAAGCACAAAGGUUUUCAUUGCUGCAGGCUUUCAGCAGGGGCGACUGAUCUCCCACUAAGCCAGCAACAGGCAGUUCACCUCUGAGACACUGGAAUAGUCAGCGGGGCCUGCUGGAAUUGAGCCCUCCCUCUCUUACUCACCCACAUAGACUGGCUGCAUCCAGGAUAAUGUAUUUCGUCUUGUCAAGAAAUCCUGUCUAGGUACCAAAAAUGUCAACAGGUAGAAAAAUACAUUUUGUUGCUUCACUAAAGACACUGAAAACACUUUUUAAUAGAAACAUGUCUUUUUCCUGCAAAUCAACUAUUCCCUAAUUAUCAAGACAAAGGCAAAUUCUGGAGAAGCAGAGGAUGCCAAGGCAGCUGCCUGGAAGUGGCACUUGUAAGCCUGCAUCCCGUUGCUGCCCUCUCCUCUGUGUCUGUUCUCAAGACGGUGUGCAGAUGGAAGGGACGUGCAGGGUGGAGGCUGUAGGUUGGCACCCGCGACAAUCUCAUGGCAUAGAAACCACAGCAUGAUAUGGGGUGACCAGAGGCCAUGGUGGCAUCAUGCUGAGAGGAAGCUGCUGGCAGGCUGGCAGGCCUCCCCACACCUUCUAGAACUAGCAGCAAUUUGUGCUUAGGGCAUUCUAAUCUCUGUCUUUCUCUGGAAUCUUGUCUGAUUACUUCUGCUCCAGUGCUCUGUCGCUCCAGCCUCUCCAGAUCACCUCACUGCCCCCCGCCUCCCACUGCCCUUCUGACAAGUUCAAGGAGAAAAGAAAAGGAAAAGUCAGGAUCUUUUAGGUGGCCUUAUGUCUGCUACCCCCUACCCCCAGUGGCACAAUAAGCUAAUCCUCCCAGCUGAGUGGAUGGGAAGUUUAAAGAAGCAAGACCCACAAAGCUUGUUUGCCUGAGAAACAAAGGAUGUUCACAUCUUUCCUUGACACAGUCUGCAGACCCCUGAGCUCUCACUGUCACAGAAAUAGCUGCUAGCCAAAACCAAAAUAGUAACAGGAGAGUCACCAGUGUCUUCAGAUGCAAAUGCCAACGAUAACUUGCACUAUAACUUAAAAGGAAGGAUCUGGUGGGGAUCCCCUCACAGCUUAGCCAUAUCCUCCUUGAGGGGGCAAGAGGGGCUUGAAGGGCCACCUGGUGGACAGAAGCAGGGCCAGGCCAGAUGCUAUCUUACCUCCACCUGCUGCAGAGUGACCUUGGAUGAGUCAGUUCUUUCCCUUCCCACAUUCUGUGUUGUGAAGAGUGAGUGAAUCCGAGGAUGUAAGACUAGUACAAGAGCCCACAAUAUACAGUUGAGAACAUCUGCAGUUUCUGGGAAUGGCUGGGUGGUGACAGGGGAGUCUCUGCCUUCUCCAAGGAACCCAGAGCCUCCCUGUCCACCAGCACUUAGCAGAGGCCACUCAUACCUGUUGUCUCUGCUCCUCAGGGGUGGCCCCUUUCACUGGUAUCAUUGACCCCGUUUGAAGGGGAUAUCUGGCUCCUGGUUGCUGUGCAAGAAGCUUUGCUCUGAACCACACUCCAAAACCUGUUUUUGCCCCUGACUCUUCUUGACUUUUACUUUCCUAGCUACUGACCUAGUUAUUUACUUCCAUUAUCCUCAUUGGGAAGUCUUUGGACUUAACAUCGUUUUCCCUGUUUCAGACCUCAGCUUCUCCCAGCCCUAUAUCUGAUGCUGGACACCAGCUGUCCUGCCUCAGCCAACCACUCUCAUAGCACAAUCUGUGUGAGCAGGGGAGGGGGCAGCACUCAGACCUCCCUGUGGCCCACAGGACCCAGAGUGGGGGGUGCCAAAAGUCCCAUUUGCAAAGAGGCAGAGACGGUAUUGCAUCUAGGCCUCCAGACCAUGGGUUUUCUCCCAUCCUCAGCUGUAGUCCAGAGGUGGCCUGCACGUGUACCCAUUCACCUUGGAAAGCUGUGCUUAAGACUGAAAAUUCCCCACAGUUGAUGCCUACUCUUGCACCCAGUGAGCUGAUUGGAUGGGUGAUAAUGUGCCCGACCUGCUAUAUGCCAUUUGUUUACUGCUCACGGGGCAGGGCUCGGGGUAUAAAUCAGGGCGCAGUGUCAGAUUCUGUAUGCCAGAUCCCUGGCCUGAGUUCUGAGAUUUCCAUACCUCUCCUCCAUGCUCAUUUGUCACUCCUAUCAAAGAAAGCUCCAUUCAUUUUUAUGAAAACAUGAAGAAAGAAAAAAUACAUAUCAGAGCAGGCCGAGGAACAAAGUGCCUUGCAAGCGUGGCUUACAAAGUGGAAACUGGAGAUUCAAGGAAGGAAACCAGCAGCAAAGCCUGCUUUUGCUCCACAUUCAGGAAGUGGUGACUUGAUCUGUUUCUCAGUUUCUGUAUCUGCAAAAUGGAGAUGCUAAUUUACAGAUUUUAGCUCACAUCCAAGGACGUCGGGAGGAUGAAUGAACUUGCAUUUCCACACAGCACUGAUGUGAUGGAAGGUGCUAUGUCAAUAGCUGGAAGAAAUAUAAGUAGGGUAUGAACCAGAUAUUCAGGAUGCUUGGGUGUCCCUUGAUGAUACUGUAUUGAAUCAAAAUAAAUUCUCCUCUAACAGA